rnacentral:rRNA from 1 species
UGAGGAACAUGACCUUCGGCGGGGAUAGCCGGCCCAACGGCCGGGUAAUACCGCGUACGACCACAUGGGGACAUCCCUGAGUGGUGAAAGCAGCAAUGCGCCGAUGGGGUGCCUCGCGGCCUAUCAGCUAGUUGGUGUGGGUAAUGGCCCACCAAGGCGACGAUGCGUAGCCGACCUGAGAGGGUGAUCGGCCACAUUGGAACUGAGACACGGUCCAGACUCCUACGGGAGCAG